CAAAACAUUGAAAUUAUUUUGAAAAAUAUUGAAAUAUUUCUUAAAAUCGAGCGGGGGUUUUACGCCGGGAGCUCUUGGUUUAUUUAAUCGAGAGAAUGAGCGAGUUAACCGCCGAAGAAGUAAGUUGAAAAGUCAUAAAUUUGUGUUAAAUAUUCUUUUGAAAAUAGCAAGUAGUUGUCUCUGCCUGGGCAGCCUGGCUUGGUCACGAUGAGUCGUUCAUAUUUUACAAAGCUAUUGUUCACUUUACAAAGUUUCUAGAUUUUACAAUUCGCAAUGAAAUACCAUCUUUAAAUACAGUUUUUCUUGGGAAUUGUUAGAUCUUGUAAUUUAUGAUUAUUAUAAGUGAUUGUUUUGACAUAUAACAGCUCGUAUAACAGUUUGGCAAGUUUGCCACAAUUUCGUAUCACGUCACAAUUUUGUAUCACGUCACAAUUUUAUUGUUAUAUGAUAUUAUUAAGACUGUAUUUUAUGCUUUAAUGUUUGUUUAUAUCCUAAUAAACUCUGAUCUUGAUGCUUGUUGAUAAAUCGAUCUAGACCUACCUUAUUUUCAUUCUCAGAUUCGGCAGCGUAGACUUGCCAGGCUCUCUAUGAGUCCUCAAUCAACCAAUCAAGACCCAUCGACCUCAACAUCUAGUCCUGUGUCAUCACCUAUUACCAUGCCAUCAUAUGGUACAAGCCCCAAUACAGGAUUUCUCAUGGCUGUCUCACCACCUGG